rnacentral:hammerhead_ribozyme from 1 species
AUUUAGCUGACGAGUCUCAAACAGGACGAAACGCGCGUUCUGGAU